CAUUCGGUCGAACAGGGAAAAAGCGAAGGAAUUCUUCGCCGGUGGUCUCGAUCGCAAGAAGGAUCCCCAUGGAUUCUCUCUCUGGAUCAAAGCGUCUCCGCUACUUCUCUCCGAGGAUUUUCUCUCUUUGAUCUCUGCAAGAUUUGCUAAGAUUCUCCACUCAUUCUCUCUCCUUCACAGACUCCCACAAGCACAUUGAAGCUUGGCGUUCUUGAUGUUCCAGAAGCUCCAAUAACGAAAUCAGCUUCAACAUCACUGAAUGGCGGACAUCUCCAAAGCUCUCGUGUUGGAGUUGACUUGAUUUUUUCGCGUCCAAGGAUCCUUGAAGCAAGAUCGAAGAGCAAUUUCAUUAUUGUUGAAAGGCGGACGUCUCCGGAAGUUGAUUCUUCACCGAUUCAAUCG
rnacentral:lncRNA from 1 species